rnacentral:rRNA from 1 species
CCUACGGGUGGCUGCAGUGGGGAAUAUUGCGCAAUGGUCGAAAGACUGACGCAGCGACGCCGCGUGGAGGAUGACGCCCUUCGGGGUGUAAACUCCUGUUGCUCGGGACGAACCUCCCCAUUCGUGGGGACUGACGGUACCGGGUGAGGAAGCACCGGCUAACUCUGUGCCAGCAGCCGCGGUAAUACAGAGGGUGCGAGCGUUGUCCGGAAUCACUGGGCGUAAGGGGCCGGCAUGCUGCUUGGGAAGCGAAAGCUCGGGGCGCAACCCCGGGUCUGCCGUGCGAACUGCCGAGCUGGAGCACGGUAGAGGCACAUGGAAUUCCGGGUGUAGCGGUGGAAUGCGUAGAGAUCCGGAAGAACACCGGUGGCGAAGGCGGUGUGCUGGGCCGUAGCUGACGCUGAGGCGCGACAGCGUGGGGAGCAAACAGGAUUAGAUACCCCUGUAGUC